rnacentral:ncRNA from 1 species
AGACCGGAGUGGACGAACCUCUGGUGUACCGGUUGUAACGCCAGUUGCAUAGCCGGGUAGCUAAGUUCGGAAGAGAUAAGCGCUGAAAGCAUCUAAGCGCGAAACUCGCCUGAAGAUGAGACUUCCCUUGUGGUUUAACCACACUAAAGAGUCGUUCGAGACCAGGACGUUGAUAGGUGGGGUGUGGAAGCGCGGUAACGCGUGAAGCUAACCCAUACUAAUUGCUCGUGAGGCUUGACUCU